AAUGCAAUGCAUACAACAUUGAUGCAUUGGACCCUAGUAGAAAUCUUCAGUUAGGCCUUCUUGGGAUAGAGUAGUACUGGGAUGGGUGACCUCUCGGGAAGUCCUAGUGUUUUACAUGC
rfam:Picea glauca, whole genome shotgun sequence.